rnacentral:rRNA from 1 species
AAAAGAAACCAACAGGGAUUCCCCUAGUAACGGCGAGUGAAGCGGGAACAGCUCAAAUUUGAAAUCUGGCCCUCGGGUCCGAGUUGUAAUUUGUAGAGGAUGCUUUUGGUGCGGUGCCUUCCGAGUUCCCUGGAACGGGACGCCUUAGAGGGUGAGAGCCCCGUACGGUUGGACGCCUAGCCUCUGUAAAGCUCCUUCGACGAGUCGAGUAGUUUGGGAAUGCUGCUCUAAAUGGGAGGUAUAUUUCUUCUAAAGCUAAAUACUGGCCAGAGACCGAUAGCGCACAAGUAGAGUGAUCGAAAGAUGAAAAGCACUUUGAAAAGAGGGUUAAAUAGCACGUGAAAUUGUUGAAAGGGAAGCGUUUAUCACCAGACUUUUUCUAGGGGGAUCAUCCGGUGUUCUCACCGGUGCACUUCCCCUAGUUGAGGCCAGCAUCGGUUUUCGGAGGGGGAUAAAAGUUUCGGGAAUGUGACUCCCCCGGGAGUGUUAUAGCCCGUUACAUAAUACC